GGACUUCCCCGUGUUCGGCGACUUGUGGACUUGUUGAUAAGAGGCUGUAUUGUAUACUGUAUACUUUUGCUCCACUACAUUUGUUUGACAGCCGUAGUUACUGGUUACUUUGGAAAUACUGGAUCUGACUACUUCUUCCACCACUGCUUAUUCGACAAGUCUGAACAGAUACAGCGAAAAUCCAUGUGGGAAAACAAUUAAAAAAGAUUCAGAAGGAGGAGUGUGAGCUGUGUGAUCAGGGAGAAGUGGAAAGUGAGUCCCAUUGUCCUUUCUACUGUACAUAUGAUGUGAUAUCAUAUGAUAUCAUAUGAUUUAAGAAAGUCAAAUUUCCAUGAAAUGGCUCAACACAACCCUGAAAAAAUAUUUAGGUGUUCAGAUGAUCAAAAAUAGGAAUGGUUGUUUAAUUUUGAUGUGUUUUAGUUUGCUAACUUUGUCUCAAAAGUCUGGAAAAGAAGGAAAGAUCGACUAUUUAAUUAGUAUUUACUCUGAUUUCUCCAGUGUUAUAUAGUAGUAGGAGUAGGUUUUCUCGAUUAUUGGACUUUUUUUAAAUUUUGAAAAUGUAUACACAGCACCUUUGAUCUGGAUUCAUUUGUGUUGUCUUGUAAGCCUAUCCAAGCUGGGCAUAAUUGUAGGGAAUGCAUGGAACAAUGAUAAAACAGUUAAAUCAUAAAUUAGUUUCUAAACGCUCAUUCUUUACAUUUUUUAUCAUAAUUACAGCAAAUUUUAAGCUAGAAGUCAUUAAAGAUAUAGGUGUGUAUAAAAGUACACAGUAGUCUAUAAGAUGGGGGUAAGAACAACCAUUAAAUAAGUAAUUAUGAUGCUAUAGGCUAUACCACUACUAUCAUGCAAUUUUAUUGUGUCAACUUUUAACAAACGUCAUGGAGUAAAGGCAAAAUAAAACUAUUUCUCAUAUUGCUUGGGGGUCACCUGGGGAACAUUAAAACUGUGUCAGCAUCUGUGGUUUAUUAUUAUAUUAUGUGAUAACUGUCCCCACGCACAAUUUCUAUUUUUCCUCUGAGUUGGUCUUAAAAUGACCAGGGGCACCUGAACGCAGCAGCACUCAGACUAUACAAUGACAUUGCCUUAUCUCCCUUAUCCAGCAGCAACAGAUGCAUCAUAAACAUACUGUAAGCAUACAACCCUGUUUGUUGUCUGUGAGAGUGAGAGUCUGGCAGUAUCUGACUCGUCCUCUCUUUAAUUCUUUGUCAUGAACAUUCAACUAGUCCAUUUCUAGCAGACCUUUGCAGACAUACUGUAGAACAUUGUGUGCUGUUUGGUCACUGAUGGGUGUUGCCUACUUAUGG